AUCCAGCUGACAAGUCCCAAACAGGACGAAACGUGGGUCAAACUAGAU
rnacentral:hammerhead_ribozyme from 1 species